GGCAUAGUUCAAUGGUAGAGCAACGGUCUCCAAAACCGUCGAUCUGGGUUCGAGUCCUAGUGC
rnacentral:tRNA from 2 species